CAACACCCUGAUGGUGUGUAGACCGUGUGGAAAGAUUAUGCAGAGGGAGGAACUCAGAAACACCACCUGGAGAAGCACUCAGCAGUUUGCAUCUGCCCAGCCUAGGUGCCCUGGGUGAGCCCUGGAGCUGAUACCAAAGAAAGAGGAGAUGACCCCCACCAGAACCCACCCAGAUCACAGACUGCUGAGUAAAACACGAAAAGCUUGCAGCCACCAAGCUUCGGGGUGGUUUGCAGCACAGCCAUCAUAACAAGAAUGACAUUCUCAGCCUUUUGCUUUCAUCAGCUUAGUACAUUCCAGGAAAAAACCUUGCAGAGCAUUUAAUAGAAAUGCUUUGAAUGGGGGAUGAACAUGGACAUCUUUCCAACACCAAGUCUUGCCAUCAGGACAUGCACCACGCCAAAUCCUUCUCUCCGCGUCUAUUGAAGACAUCAAGGUCAGAGUGAGCACGUAAAAUGAACUGCCCCAUUUUUCUUCUUACUCAUCCAGCUGUCCAUGAGGCUGAGGUCGCACUGGCUGCCCCUGUCCUGGAGGAAGGCCUGAAUGGACUGACUGGGGGAUGGGUGUCUGCUGACUCAAGUUGGCCCAGGUGCCCCCACGGGUCUCCAUGCUGUCAGUGCAUCCAGGGGCACAGCCGACUGAGACACAGAUAGGCCGGGUGUGGGCGGGAGAAUGACUCGAGGAGCCCCCAUGUAGGUCCGUCCAACUCGAGGAUGACAUUGGCUGAUGGCUGCUGCUGAGGGCAGAUCCGAGGCCCCCAUGUCUGGGUCAGAGUCUCCCUGGGACCAGUGGACUGGUGACCAUUCUCAUCAGCAAAGCUGUGGCAGCAGAGACGGUCAGCUGUGCAGAGAGCCAGCCUGUCUGAGUUCUGGCCUGUACACCAGCAGACAUGCUUGUCUUUCUUAUAAAGCAUGAGAA
ensembl:lncRNA